GAAAGUUUUAACCAUCCCUAAGUACCCUCAAAAUAUUUUUCUGCUUUGAAACUGAAAUGGCUUCUGGAUGCAAAUGUGGUGAUAGCUGCUCCUGUGGAGACAGCUGCAACUGCCAAUCUGGGUCCAUCACACAGGCAACGUCCCUGAUGAGUGGGUGCAGCUGUGGGAGCAGCUGCUCAUGUGACUCAUGCGACUGCAAGUGAAGCAUUUGGAAAGAAAAUGAAAAAAAAAAAGCUCAAACCAACAAAGCUUUUGAAUAAAAACGUUGAUGAACUGUCUGAAUUUCGUUCGUUUUCUUUUUCUUUUUUAUUUGUGAAAAGAUUGCCAUUGAAACUGUAAGUCCAUAUAUGCAUGGAAUAUGGUUUUUUAUGGUUUCUUUGUGUGAAAGUGAAAGCCUAUGUUAUGCUUUGUUGUGGAUUGAGGUUCUUAAUUAUCAAUGCCUUAAGUGUGUUGAAUUUGUGUGUUC